CUCUCUCUUGAUCAUGUCAGUGGCUGGUGCAACUUAUAUGUUUAGUCUAUACUCUAAUGACAUUAAAACGUCAUUAGGCUAUGAUCAAACCACUCUCAAUUUGCUUAGCUUCUUCAAGGACUUGGGUGGUAAUGUUGGAGUCUUGUCAGGGCUCAUCAAUGAAGUCACCCCACCUUGGGUUGUUCUUUCCAUGGGAGUAAUCAUGAAUUUCCUUGGAUACUUCAUGAUUUGGCUUGCUGUUACUGGCCAGAUUGCCAAGCCAAAAGUUUGGCAGAUGUGUCUUUAUAUAUGUAUUGGAGCAAAUUCUCAAACUUUUGCCAAUACUGGAGCUCUAGUCACCUGUGUCAAGAACUUCCCGGAAAGCAGAGGUAAUGUUUUGGGCUUGUUAAAGGGAUUUGUUGGUUUGAGUGGAGCUAUUUUGACUCAACUCUACCAUGCUUUUUAUGGAGAUAACUCCAAGGCUCUUAUCUUGCUUAUUGCUUGGCUUCCUGCUGCUGUUUCUUUCAUUUUUCUUCGUACCAUUCGGAUAAUUAAGAUCGUUCGCCAACCCAAUGAGGUCAAAGUUUUCUACAAACUCCUGUAUAUUUCACUUGGUCUUGCUGGUUUUCUCAUGGUUUUGAUUAUCAUACAAAACAAGUUCAGCUUUGCCAGAAUUGAGUACAUUGGAAGCGCUUCUAUUGUUCUUGUAUUGCUUUUUCUCCCUAUAGCUAUCGUUAUAAAAGAAGAAUAUAAUCUCUGGAGCAGCAAGAAGGCAGCCUUGAACGACCCAUAUCCAGUGAAAGUCGUGACUGAAAAUCCUCCAGCGCUGGAAUUGUCAACAUCGACACCAGCACUAGAGCCAUCAGCCCCACCACCUGGAAUUCCAACGCCAACAGAGAAGCAAGCUUCUUGCAUGGACAACAUUUUCAAACCACCAGACAGAGGUGAAGACUUCACCAUAUUACAAGCACUUUUUAGUGUGGAUAUGCUGAUAAUAUUUGUCGCCAUAACUUGUGGCGUUGGUGGCACGUUGACAGCAAUAGAUAACUUGGGUCAGAUUGGGAACUCUCUCGGCUAUCCAACUCGUAGCAUCACAACCUUUGUGUCACUUGUUAGUAUUUGGAACUACCUUGGUCGAGCAGUGGCUGGGUUUGCCUCUGAAAUCUUGCUGACAAAGUACAAGAUCCCUCGUCCUCUAUUGUUUACAUUUGUGCUUCUCUUCUCUUGUCUUGGGCAUCUUCUAAUUGCUUUUGGCGUUCCAAAUUCCCUCUACUUCGCUUCUGUGAUCAUCGGUUUCUGCUUCGGAGCACAAUGGCCAUUGAUGUUUGCAAUGAUAUCUGAAAUUUUUGGCCUGAAGUACUAUUCAACCUUGUACAAUUUUGGUUCUGUUGCUAGCCCAGUUGGCUCGUACGUCCUCAAUGUGAGAGUGGCCGGCCAUUUAUACGAUAAAGAGGCAUUGAAGCAAAUGGAGGCCUCGGGGCUUAGAAGGGAAGCAGGGCAAGACUUGACAUGCAAUGGUGUGCACUGUUAUAGAAUGGCUUUCCUCAUAAUCACUGCAGCAACAUUAUUUGGGUCCUUAAUUUCCUUCAUUUUAGUGCUCAGGACCAGAAAAUUCUAUAAAGGUGACAUCUACAAGAAAUUCAGGGAGGAGGCCAAAGCCACAGAGAUCAAUGAUAUGACUUCACCUGGAAACGGUAUUGUACCAUUGAAAGAAAUAAGAUCUGAAACCAGGACGAAGAAAGCCGUCACUGGGGACGGAGAUUCUAAAACAGUCACCACCACCACCACCACCGUU
rnacentral:misc_RNA from 1 species